GGAUCAUUACAGAAGUGAAUUCUUCUUUCUCUGUUUAUCGACCGGUUUUGUUGAUAUCCUGCUAUCCAUACCGUCUGACUACACAAACAUAAUUAUAUAAAACUUUCAACAACGGAUCUCUUGGUUCUGGCAUCGAUGAAGAACACAGCAAAAUGUGAUAAGUAAUGUGAAUUGCAGAAUUUAGUGAAUCAUCGAAUUUUUGAACGCAUAUUGCACCUUUUUAAGGUAUACUUAGAUGAGUGUUGUUUAAUCCUCACCCCUGGGUGGUAUUGGCGCCGGUCGCGUGCGGCCGUGCCGAAAGACAACGAGAUGAAUCGAUACAAUGAGCUUCGGCACGUAUCGAGACGUCUGGAACCGCCGUGGGAGGCUCCGGCCCCCGCGACACUGUUAUGGUUCAACCUC
rnacentral:rRNA from 1 species